UGAAAAAAGAAUGAUGAAUGGAGUUGCUGGCUGAGGUUGAAAUUCAACCGCGGUCUCGAUGACUGUGUCGAAUGAUCAAACAGUUUUUUUUUCAUUAUUAUUGGCAAGUCUAUCAUAUUUGUAAACUGCCUAAAGGAACUAUUAAUUCUUGGCUGUUAUUAGCACUUCGCAGCAUGGCACUAACUCAUCAAUGAAUUUAAGGAAAUAGCUCGGUUCAACAUGUUAACACGCCAACGGCGAUAUUGCCAUGAGUUUAGAAAUUUUGGCCCUGUUUUCAUUGGAAAAUACCGAUUGCUAAUUAAUGAUUAACGUCAAUUAAAAUAGAUUGAGCCAGUCUCGUGGAUUUAUUUUCUAAAUCUGUGUAAGCACACACCGCUGUAGUUUUCAAUAGUAAUGUCGUAGUUACUUAAUAGACGGUGUUCACACAUUAACUCCUUUAUCGCCCUAGCUUCACACAUUAACUCCUUUAUCGCCAUAGCUAUUCUACUGACAAACAUGUUUUCGUUGAGCGACCACUUGUUUUGCCGUCAGGCGAGAAUGGUCUCUGGGUUUAUAGAUUGAUAUGAGAUAUGUGCAUUUCUCGCUUUUUAAAAGUAUGCAAAAUGAUACGCUACAUGUGUUUUUAUCUAGCAACCUUAGGGAAUUAUAUGAUCGUAAAUUCAGAGGGAAAUAGACCUUUCAACAUUUCUGACCAAAUGAAAUGGCUUUUGAUUGAUUACAAUUUUAUAUCAUUGUGAAAAGGCUUUUCAGAGGGGAAAUAAGAAUUUUAGAUAUAAUUUCUUGUUUUUUUUUUUCUAUUUGUUGCACAAGUUUUAUUGGGGUUUUUAUUUUAUUUUUUUAGCAGUGUUCGAUACUCUGGCCCGAGGAAAUUUGAAAUCCAACAUCGGCAAAAGGCAAAGAUAAACACGUCACUUAUCACAGACCCAAAGAAGCCGAAACCUUGGUGCGAAAGCUAAAUAUUUUAAUUAAAAAAAAACACGGUGUCUUGAAAUCAAUCACUUAGAAACAUACCUUUAAAUAGGCCCUAGUGAAGAGAAUGAGUAGCUAUACGGCGAAGCUAUGAGAGGUCCCUUAAAUACGAACUUAAAAAUCAACUUAAGGACUCCACGAGGCUCACACGACGUUUUCUAGAGGAAAACUGUUUUCUAGAGGAGUCUGUGGCAUUUCCCCACUAUAGCCCGGAAAGAGCCAUGUCUCCUGGUCUGGCUUCCGCAACGCUUCACGCCGCGAGAAAAAUGCCUUUUGAACUCAAACCGAAUGGGAUUUAUUCAUUCGAAACGGUUCAUGCAAAUUACGAGAGAGCAAAGUUGAAUUUGACAGUCACGUGACACAUUCGGUAGGGCCAUGAAAAUCGAUCUGAUUUAGCAGGUUCUUUUGGGAAAAAAAUAACAGUCGAGAUCAGAAAUGUGGCUUACAAAAUAUUGAAAGAUAUCCAGUUUGGCGUGGUGAUGUUUUAGCGAUCUUGUUGUCUUUUCUUGCUGUCGAUAUCCUUGAAACGCAUGGAUAGCAAUGCAAAAUAAUAAUAAAAAUCUAGACUCAACAAUAGAGACAAAGACUUACACACAAAUCAUCCUUCACGAGAAGCGUUGAAGAUACCAGUCUCGAGUUAGUCCCAAAGACAGCACAAUUCCGCUUCAAAACCUGUCUCUACUCUAUCAUCAGAUGGACCAUAUCUUUGAUAUUCAAAUUCUCGAUUCCUCGUCACCACUUAUGGUUCCUUUAAAAAGCAUUGAAUAAAUAAACAGAGAUGCGGUUAAGAUGCGAACAAGACGCGACAAUUAUUCACUCGGACGCAACUAUAACCGCAUCGAAGCGCGCUCCAUAUGGUUUCUCACUUCUGUAAUGUUUAAGCAGCUAUAAUAGCCGCGUCCAAAAACAUACAAACGCAUAUAUUACAUAGACGCAGAAUGGCUGCUUUGUUAUUUAGAAAAGUACGUCACAACUGACAAACUUCCGGCGGUAAUACAUGCCAGUUGAUAUACGUUCGCAUUUCCGUAAUUGGGUACUUUUUCGUUUUAUUAGUUGUAACAAGAUAUUUUUAAAGGAAUUCAUGCCAAGGUAAAUAAAAACCCGCUAUCUCCUUGUUAUUAGUUCCGUAAAGCUAGGGUGAUCUUCUGCAACAAAAGUGCAUUUAUCAAGCUCCUUCACACAAGAGAAACACCCCUUAUCAAGAUUUCAUAAUGACCGAGAAGACAUUGUCGUCGCCGCUUGACCACGUGCGGUAACACCAAUAGUUAAUCUAAUAUGUCCUGCAUAAAAUGGAUUUUUUUCUUCAUGUUUUUGUGGUUUUUCACCGCUGUCAGUCCAGGGGCGGAACUAGUCCCGACAGUGAUCUGGUGUUUGUCUCACACUAUUGUUUUGACAAUCUGACAAAAGUAUAUCAAGCUUUCCCGAUUUAAAUUAAAAGCUUCGAUGAGCCAAAGUCUGAGUUUUUAAGGGCUUCAGUUUCCAAAAGCUAGUUCAUGCAUGUCUUGUUUAAGAAUAAUAACAACCGGCGAUAUAACCAAACGAGAGCGCUUAUUUCUCUGUGAAAGUUAUCAUUGUAUCAUUUCUCGGGAGAGAAUCUCGUCCCCAGAUCCCAUGUACCUUUGUUAAUGUGUGCCGCUGGCACAACGGUUCGUGGGGUCUGGGAACAAGAUUCGAGGGGAUCGAGAGCGAUGCGCGCAGUGCGCAUGGUCUUCUGGGUAAUUUUAACAUGGCUUCAAGUUGACAAAGCUAUAUGCCAUAAUAGGUGGAUUAUAGUCGUCGGCGACUUAUUGUUAAAAGUGAAGGAUGCAUCAGCGGCACCAGCAUCAACGAAAACAACAACAACAAUGGCAACAAUCACAUCUCGUCAUUAGCAACAACAACAAUAAUAGAAACAGCAACAGUAACAACAAUAACAAAAACAAUGGCAAAGGGAACAAUGACAAAAGCAACAAUAACAAUAGCAUAAUCGUUAGAGUGUAAUACUAAACGUUUUCGCAUAAAGCUUAGCUAUAGAACAUGUCAUACAUAAAACUAUGCGUGUCAUACAUAAGACUCUGCGUUGGUGUUUGAUUUUCCGUUGAAAGGCUGCAAUUUUAAAAUAAAAAGGCUGCUUUA